GACGAACGCUGGCGGCGUGCUUAACACAUGCAAGUCGAACGGAAAGGCCCUGCUUGCAGGGUGCUCGAGUGUCGAGCGGGUGAGUAACACGUGGGUGAACUGCCCCUUACUUUGGGAUAAGCCUGGGAAACUGGGUCUAAUACUGGAUAGGGCCAUGCUGUAGGUGGGGUGGUGGAUGGAUUGUUUUGGGUGGGGGGGGAGCUCGCGGCCUAUCAGCUUGUUGGUGGGGUAAUGGCCUACUAAGGCGUCGACGGGUAGCCGGCCUGAGAGGGUGGUGGGCGGCAUCGGGACUACGAUGCGACCCAGAAGCCUACGGCGGGCGGCAGUGGGGAAGAAUGCAGAAUGGGCGCAAGCCUGAUGCAGCGACGCCGCGUGGGGGGUGAUGGCGUCCGGGUUGUAAUCUACUGUCUGCGAUGGCGAAGAAGUUGUGGUGACGGUAGUGGUAGAAGAAGCACCGGCUAACUACGUG
rnacentral:rRNA from 1 species